rnacentral:rRNA from 1 species
CCGCAAUGGGCGAAAGCCUGACGGAGCAAGACCGCGUGAGGGAAGAAGGCCUGUGGGUUGUAAACCUCUUUUGAUAGGGAAGAAGUUCUGACGGUACCUAUCGAAUAAGCCUCGGCUAACUCCGUGCCAGCAGCCGCGGUAAUACGGAGGAGGCAAGCGUUAUCCGGAAUUAUUGGGCGUAAAGCGUCCGUAGGUGGUUGUUCAAGUCUUCUGUCAAAGCGCGGAGCUUAACUCCGUAAAAGGCAGAGGAAACUGAGCGGCUAGAGUGCGAUAGGGGCAGAGGGAAUUCCCAGUGUAGCGGUGAAAUGCGUAGAUAUUGGGAAGAACACCGGUGGCGAAAGCGCUCUGCUGGGUCUGCACUGACACUGAGGGACGAAAGCUAGGGGAGCGAAAGGGAUUAGAUACCCCUGUAGUCCUAGCUGUAAACGAUGGGUACUAGGCGUUGUCCGUAUCGACCCGGGCAGUGCCGUAGCUAACGCGUUAAGUACCCCGCCUGGGGAGUACGCUCGCUAGAGUG